rnacentral:rRNA from 1 species
CCUACGGGUGGCAGCAGUGAGGAAUAUUGGUCAAUGGCCGAGAGUCUGAACCAGCCAAGUCGCGUGAAGGAAGAAGGAUCUAUGGGUUGUAAACUGCUUUUGUAAGGGGGUAAACUCAGAUACGCGUGUCUGUUUGAAAGUACCGUAUGAAUAAGCAUCGGCUAACUCCGUGCCAGCAGCCGCGGUAAUACGGAGGAUGCGAGCGUUAUCCGGAUUUAUUGGGUUUAAAGGGUGCGUAGGCGGGUGAAUAAGUUAGCGGUGAAAUCCCGAGGCUCAACUUCGUACUUGCCGUUGAAACUGAUUGGCUUGAGAGUAGUAGAGGUAGGCGGAAUGCGUGGUGUAGCGGUGAAAUGCAUAGAUAUCACGCAGAACACCGAUUGCGAAGGCAGCUUACCAGGCUACUACUGACGCUGAGGCACGAAAGCGUGGGGAUCAAACAGGAUUAGAUACCCGAGUAGUC